rnacentral:rRNA from 1 species
AUUGAACGCUGGCGGCAUGCCUUACACAUGCAAGUCGAACGGUAACAGGUUAAGCUGACGAGUGGCGAACGGGUGAGUAAUGUAUCGGAACGUGCCCAGUUGUGGGGGAUAGCUGCUCGAAAGAGCAGCUAAUACCGCAUACGACCUGAGGGUGAAAGCGGGGGAUCGCAAGACCUCGCGCAAUUGGAGCGGCCGAUAUCAGAUUAGGUAGUUGGUGGGGUAAAGGCUCACCAAGCCGACGAUCUGUAGCUGGUCUGAGAGGACGACCAGCCACACUGGGACUGAGACACGGCCCAGACUCCUACGGGAGGCAGCAGUGGGGAAUUUUGGACAUUGGGCGCAAGCCUGAUCCAGCCAUGCCGCGUGCGGGAAGAAGGCCUUCGGGUUGUAAACCGCUUUUGUCAGGGAAGAAACGCUCUGGGUUAAUACCCUGGGGUAAUGACGGUACCUGAAGAAUAAGCACUGGCUAACUACGUGCCAGCCGCCGCAGUAA